UUGUCUCAAAGAUUAAGCCAUGCAUGUCUCAGUACAAGCCUAAUUAAGGUGAAACCGCGAAAGGCUCAUUAAAUCAGUUAUGGUUCCUUAGAUCGUACCCACAUUUACUCGGAUAACUGUGGUAAUUCUAGAGCUAAUACGUGCAAACAGAGCUUCGACCGGAGACGGAAGGAGCGCUUUUAUUAGAUCAAAACCAAUCGGCGGCGGCGCGCCUCGCCGCGCGUCCGUCGUCGUUCGCUCUGGCGAAUCUGAAUAACUUUCUGCCGAUCGCACGGUCUCGCACCGGCGACGCAUCUUUCAAAUGUCUGCCUUAUCAACUGUCGAUGGUAGGUUCCGUGCCUACCAUGGUCGUAACGGGUAACGGGGAAUCAGGGUUCGAUUCCGGAGAGGGAGCCUGAGAAACGGCUACCACAUCCAAGGAAGGCAGCAGGCGCGCAAAUUACCCACUCCCGGCACGGGGAGGUAGUGACGAAAAAUAACGAUACGGGACUCAUCCGAGGCCCCGUAAUCGGAAUGAGUACACUCUAAACCCUUUAACGAGGAUCAAUUGGAGGGCAAGUCUGGUGCCAGCAGCCGCGGUAAUUCCAGCUCCAAUAGCGUAUAUUAAAGUUGUUGCGGUUAAAAAGCUCGUAGUCGAAUCUGUGUCCCGCGCCGCCGGUUCGUCGCUCGCGACGUUUAACUGGCGUGUCCGCGGGACGUCCUGCCGGUGGGCUUAGCCCGCGAGGGCGGCCCAAUUCGAAUCCCGCCGCGGUGCUCUUCACUGAGUGUCGAGGCGGGCCGGCACGUUUACUUUGAACAAAUUAGAGUGCUUAAAGCAGGCUAAAAUUUCGCCUGAAUACUGCGUGCAUGGAAUAAUGGAAUAGGACCUCGGUUCUAUUUUGUUGGUUUUCGGAACCCCGAGGUAAUGAUUAAUAGGAACGGAUGGGGGCAUUCGUAUUGCGACGUUAGAGGUGAAAUUCUUGGAUCGUCGCAAGACGGACGGAAGCGAAAGCAUUUGCCAAAAACG
rnacentral:rRNA from 1 species